GCUAUAAAUAAGCCCCUUUGGAGAGGGGAUACCCUAGUGGAAUAGAGGACACAGCGGGGCGUUUGAGGACUUCUGCUCCCGUGAAACUAUAUUAACUGCGAAAAAUAUAAAGGAAAACUUAAAAUCUCUCGCUAUAACAAGGUUUGCCAAGUGUCAUGAACAGGGUGUAUUAUUAUAGUGAGAACAGCCACUGGUGGCAGAAUGUGAACUCGCUGGCUACAGGAUUCUACCUGCACCGUCAGGUGGGUGAACAGGUGCAGCCAGCACAGCCGGGAGGGCGGCCACCACUCAUCCACACCCUCACCGUGGCCGAACACUUAGCUGAAAUCAUCCUGGAGGCGAGGUUUGGCAGUGGCCAUCUGAAGCGGCGGCGAGGCAGGACAGCCUUCAGCGCCCAGCAGCUGGAGGCCCUGGAGACGGCCUUCCACACAACCCGCUAUCCCGACAUGGCCAUGCGGGAACGGCUGGCAAUGUACAUCAACCUCCCAGAGCCAAGAA